UAAUCUUUUAUCUUACUGUCUUGAGAUUUGUCUAAUUCAUAAAGUAAAUAAAAGAUAUUAUUUAUACUCGUCAUUUAUUAAUUGAUCGUGUUUUUAUGUAACAAUGUUUAUUACUCUUGUAGCAAUCUCAUAUAAAAUAACGUUCAACUCUCAGUGAUCAUGUGCUAAGUGGUGUACCAAAAAGCCCUGUACAUUUCACAUUUUGGAUAUACAUAAUUUCACAACUUGAAUGGUACUAUCUACAAAAGCAAUGGAAUACGAUAAUGAUGAUACUUGGCGCCGUUCAUCAUCACCUCAGUUUAAGGAAAAGAAAAUAUGUAAACCAUUACCAAGGAGGUCAACCACUACUGCUGUUAUUGUCCUUGGCCUGGCAGUCUUAAGUUGUUUAAUGGGAUACUGUGUUCUAAGUGAAACCUUACCCUAUGAAUCAAAAACCUUGCGACUUGUUAUUAUAUUUUUUCGGCAUGGGGCUAGGGCACCAGUUAGUUCAUAUAAAAGUGAUCCCUUUAAAAACUAUCAGUGGCCAGAUGGCCUAGGAAGCUUGACUAAUGCAGGUAAACUGCAACUAUAUGAGCUGGGAAGGAAAUACCGAAGUUAUUAUGCUAAUUUCAUUCCUGAAGAGUAUCAAGAGAAAGAUGUUUAUAUUAGAAGCAGUGACUCUUCCCGUUGUUUAAUGAGUGCUUACACCUUCUUAGCAGGAUUGUAUCCUCCUUAUGAAAGACAAAUUUGGCAUCCUGAGAUAUUAUGGCAGCCCAUACCUGUACACUCUUUACCAAGACAACUUGAUAAUAUAGUAGCAGCUACCAAACCAUGCAAGACCUGGAAGGGAAUGUACCAAGAAUUGCUAGCUGAAAAAAAUGCUGAUAGUAAAUACACUGAGUUGUUCGACUAUUUAAGUAAACAUACAAAUCAAAGUAUGAGAAGUAUUUUAGAUGUAGAUUUCUUUUAUAGUACAUUACAAGCUCAAUAUGAAGCAGGUUUGAAACUUCCGGAGUGGACUAAAACUGUUUUUCCUACUAAAAUGAGACCACCGUUUAUGUUGAGUUUAGCAUUAUUAUCAUAUAAUGAAUCAUUACAAAGAUUACAUACUGGCCCGCUUUUAAAUAACAUAAGAUCACACCUACAAGAGGCAGUAAUGCACACAAACACGGAUCGGGCACUAUACAUAUAUUCAGGGCAUGACGUCAACUUGGUAUCGUUAAUGAGAGCAUUGGGUUACACAGAGCUCUUAGAGCCGGAGUACGGUGCAAGCAUUUUGCUGGAAUUGCACGAAGAGGUCGAACAGGACAAAUUUUACGUCAAGCUCUUCUAUCGCAACAAUACGAAGAUAGAAGUUCCAAUGGAACUAAAAGUACCAAAUUGUAUAGAACCUUGCACUUAUGACAAAUUUGUUGAACACCUCGGCACUCUGAUACCAUUGGAUUGGGAAGCGGAGUGUCAAAAUUAAUUACUACAAAAAAUAUUCCAGCGGAGGAACACGUUCGUAUAGUGUACUUUUCUUACAAAGUAUUAAAGGAUUAAAGGUAACAUUGAGCCAUAGACAAAACCUUUGCGACAGGCGUGUCUUGGAAUCUAUACUAUUAUGUAAACCAAUUUUUUUUAAAUCAAAUUUGCUGCCACAGAUGGAGCUAAUGUUGCAACAUUUUAACAGAUUCUAAUCAUUUUAUCAAUUGUCUUGCUAUAAAGCACUCCAGUUAUGCAAAUAAUGUAAUAAAUUCCCCUCUAUACACAUAUAUAAGUAUUCUAAUUUUUUUUCUUUACAAUUUAAUAAAUAAGAUGGUCACACCUGUCGCAGUUGUUUAUCUAAAUCUAGAUAUGUGUUGUUUUUUGUUAGAUGUGAGUAAUUUUAAAUUGGCAGCUAUAAGUGUUAAAUGUAGGGUGUCUUGCCAGAAAAUGUUAAAAUUUGAUCAAAAAGUAAAGCAAUUCGUUAUCUUGGACGAAUAUUUUGAGGCAAGCGUUACUAUCUCAUUGAAUUUGUCAUAUGUCAAAAUUGAAAUACAGUAUAUAUUUGACAGCCUGUGACAUCUGCUAAUAAGAGGUUAUAUUUUGGUCAAAGAACUAAAUGAUUGUUUGACUAGAAGCUCAAUUAAUUCUCCACUCUAGCUUUUUAUAUGAUAAUGUAUUCGACGGAUAUUUUUUUCUUCUGGUACCACUUUAUUGCUAAAGGUUGGCUGUUAACAACUUGAAUAAAAUAAAAAAACAGCCCGACUCGUGCCUCGAAUUUUGGACAUAAUAAUACGAAAACAAAAGUGUGUGGUUAGUGAUAAAAUCGUAAUUUUCCUACACACUUCAUCUUUGUUUACACGUAAAAUCAAUUCAGAAUAAAUACACUGUAUCCAAAAUAUUGUCUGGUACUAGAAUUUAUCAUUUCAUGAAACGGACAGUGAAAAUGGCAUAUUGUUAAAUCGUCAAUGUUUCAUGUUAUUUCAAUAAAGGGCCAUUUGUGUAAUGUUCAGAUUAGGGGGAGGAGUAUGUAGUUUUUUUAAAUCAUCCCAUCUAAAGUCUACAUAUAAUCUGCCCCGCCAUAAUGCACCAUACGAAAUAGUGGUCUAUUUCCAUAUACAGCUCUUUAUAUUGUUAAAGCCGUAUUUUUGAAAUACCUAAUAUAUAAAAAAAUUGCCAAAUCAUGAAGAUUUACGACCGACAUUCUAUAUUUAUUUUUCUAUAUAUUUACAAUAGCUACAGACAUGAUACGUUUGUCUUCCUCACAGAUAUUAUAAAUUGUUACUAUUAAUGUAUUUUUUUAUCACAUGAUUUUUAUAAUAAUUUAAACUAUAUUUAGAUAAACUUUUUGUAUCUUUAAAUGAAUUUGAAUCUCGCUGUAACCGAAUUAUUUAACCACUUUUGAUAUUAUAUACCUAUGUAUAAUCUGUGGCACAGAGCCGUACAUGUAAGAUUCA